rnacentral:tRNA from 1 species
GGUAUGGCCGAGAGGUUAGGCGCUUGAUUUUGAAUUAAGUUACGUUGGUUCGAAUCCAACUA